UGCUUAAUUCUCACAAGGUGGGGACUAUCAUCAUGAUCUUCCCCCCUUCCCAAAGACGAGGGUACUGAGACACAGAGACAUCACCGAGCUAGUAAGUGGGAGGGCUACAGUUUGAACCCAGACUCUCUGGUCUCCAAGCCUGUGCUCUUCCCUGUUAUAGACACUGCCCCAGAAGAGGGGGAACAGAUGGGACAUUGGGAACACUGGCAAUUUCAGUGACACUAUAGGGAAAAACCACAAGGCAGUGAGUGAAAAAAAAAAAAAAAGUGAGUUGGAAGCAAGAGAGUACAGACCAGCAGGCCAGCCCUUAACUACAAAGCGUGGUCUGACUGUGUUACCUGGGGACUCAUUAGACAUGAAGAAUCUUGGGCCCAGCCCCAUCUUCUGAAACAGACCCUGCAAUUAACAAGUUCCUCAGGUGAUUCACAUGCAUGCUGAAGUCUCAUCGAGCUGAUCUUUCAGAACUAGAUGAGCUUUCAGGAACUUUGAUGGACAGAAGAGAGAAAAAUACAGUUUUUCCUUUUUGGUUGGAGAGACUGAAGCAGGUUGUAAAUUUAGAAAAGCAGUUUGCAACCCUGGCCGCACAUUGAAAACAUGUGGUGUGCUGAGGCCAAUGCCCAGAAUAAAGUCUGGUGGUCCAGGUGAUCCUAAUAUGAGGAGCGUGGUAGGGAGACUCACACAAGGGAUCAAAGUAAGGAAGGACAUGAUGGAGGUGCAGGUGCCAGGGAAUUAAGGCCUCCUCAGGUAACUGGGACCCACUCCAGUGUUCUUGCCUGGAGAAUCCCAGGGACUGCGGAGCCUGGNNNNNNNNNNNNNNNGGGGUCGCACAGAGUCAGACAUGACUGAAGUGACUCAGCAGCAGCAGCAGGUAACUGGGAAGAUUUGAGGCUGAAGAAAUGCAAAGAAGAUGUUUGGGGAAGGAAGAAAAGCAUCACACUAAAGCCGAGAGAAACAUUUUAGAGUAUGAGACCAGCAAGGAAUAGACUAUCAAACCUAACAGUUAGGAUUAAUUGAUUGAUUGACUUCUUACAUUUUAACUGGGAUGUGAUGUAGCAAGAAUGGU
rnacentral:lncRNA from 1 species